UACGUAGGGUGCAAGCGUUAAUCGGAAUUACUGGGCGUAAAGCGUGCGCAGGCGGUUUUGUAAGUCUGUUGUGAAAUCCCCGGGCUUAACCUGGGAAUUGCGAUGGAGACUGCAAGGCUGGAGUCUGGCAGAGGGGGGUAGAAUUCCACGUGUAGCAGUGAAAUGCGUAGAGAUGUGGAGGAACACCGAUGGCGAAGGCAGCCCCCUGGGUCAAGAUUGACGCUCAUGCACGAAAGCGUGGGGAGCAAACAGG
rnacentral:rRNA from 1 species